ensembl:lncRNA
CCUCAUUAAAGUCCAGUAGAUCACUUCCUACUCAUCACUACAUCCUGUAUCUGGUCCUCAUUAAAGUCCAGUAGAUCACUUCCUACUCAUCACUACAUCCUGUAUCUGGUCCUCAUUAAAGUCCCGUAGAUCACUUCCUUAUUCACUCUUUUUGUUUGGUUUAUAAAGCUCUACUAUACAUGGUGGGUUAACUCUGAGGUUCCUAGGGUCGCCACCAAAUUAGGAGAAUCCGCUUUUAAUUUUAAUGUGCCUCACUGCAGAACGAAUAACAAUAGGAUAUUCUGGUGCAGUUUAGUGUGUUGGGGACCUAGUAGCUGAGGAAAGGAACGUUGUUGUGCUUUUAAAAAAAAACAUUUUAUAAGGCAUUGUAUUGAUUACUGUUUGGUUUCACAUCGUUUUUUUAUUUAUUGUUGUAGUACUGUAAAUCAGGGCACCCUGGGGGAUGACACCCUGGUCUCAUUGGUUUUCCCCUGAAUAAAUGAAAAAAAAAAAAAAAUGACAGAUCUGGAUUUAUGGUGGUGUGUGGGUCUGGCUGGUUGCCCAGGCGACUGACGACAGUAGACCUAUCCCUGACCUGCAGAUCUUUAGGCAUAGUGGAGACAGGACUCCACCUGCUGGUAAGAACCUAUUAUCAGAAUCUUCAUCCAUCCACUCCUCAUCAUCACCUCUCAAGCAAGGUUCAUGUGUAGUGGCAUGAUUUAAGCUACUGAUAUUGAAGGCGUAACCCGGGACUCGAUCCCGGGUCCAGCGACUAUCAAGCCAACACAUGAAAUCGCUACAUUAUAUCGGUUAACUCUGACACAACACCUUAAGACAUAGCCCACACAUGAACAAUGUAACCACGGACGUGGAGGGGGAAAAAAAAGACUGAUCCUAAAACAUAAAUUGACAGAUUUAAAUCAUCAAGGCACAACAAUCAUUGUCAGCUGAAAGGUCAAAAGGUCAGUUGAUAGAUGAGGUAGAACAACACGAGAGGCAUCUAUGGACAAUAUCGUCUCUGUCCCAAAUGGCACCAAAUCGAUUCCCUAUAUAGUGCACUACUUUUAACCAGGGCCUAUAGGGCUUUGGUCAAAUGUAGUGCACUAGGUAGGGAAUAGGGUGGCAUUUAUGGGUCUACCAUCCAUCAUUACCCAUAAUGCUUCAGGAAGGUUCUGUUUUUGACAAUAACUAUAAUGAUACAGUCUCCAGUCCACCAGUACAGGUAUUGUGAUACAGUCCACCAGUACAGGUAUUGUGAUAGUCUCCAGUCCACUAGUACAGGUAUUGUGAUACGGUCUCCAGUCCACUAGUACAGGUAUUGUGAUACAGUCCACUAGUACAGGUAUUGUGAUACAGUCCACUAGUACAGGUAUUGUGAUACAGUCCACUAGUACAGGUAUUGUGAUACAGUCCACUAGUACAGGUUUUUUUUUAACCUAGGAAUAUAGUGUUCUCUGCAGUGUGUUCUCUGCUGUCUGUGCAGUGUGUUCUCUGCUGUCUGUGCAGUGUGUUCUCUGCUGUCUGUGCUGUGCAGUGUGUUCUCUGCUGUCUGUGCAGUGUGUUCUCUGCUGUCUGUGCUGUGCAGUGUGUUCUCUGCAGUCUGUGCAGUGUGUUCUCUGCUUUCUGUUCUGUGCAGUGUGUUCUCUGCUGUCUGUGCUGUGCAGUGUGUUCUCUGCUGUCUGUGCAGUGUGUUCUCUGCUGUCUGCUGUGCAGUGUGUUCUCUGCAGUCUGUGCUGUGUGUUCUCUGCUGUCUGUGCUGUGCAGUGUGUUCUCUGCAGUGUGUUCUCUGCUCUGUGCAGUGUGUUCUCUGCUGUGUGUUCUCUGCUGUCUGUGCAGUGUGUUCUCUGCAGUCUGUGCAGUGUGUUCUCUGCUGUCUGUGCAGUGUGUUCUCUGCAGUCUGUGCAGUGUGUUCUCUGCUGUCUGUGCAGUGUGUUCUCUGCUGUCUGUGCAGUGUGUUCUCUGCUGUCUGUGCAGUGUGUUCUCUGCUGUCUGUGCAGUGUGUUCUCUGCUGUCUGUGCAGUGUGUUCUCUGCUGUCUGUGCAGUGUGUUCUCUGCAGUCUGUGCAGUGUGUUCUCUGCUGUCUG